rnacentral:pre_miRNA from 1 species
UGUGCACUUGGGGGGUUCCUCCGCCCGGAUUGCGAGGGGGUGCAGGCCAGGCUGAGGGACCCCACCAGAACACA